ensembl:snRNA U6 U6 spliceosomal RNA
GUGCUUGCAUCGGCAGCACAUGUGCUUAAAACAAUUGGAAUGGUACAGAGAAGAUUCACAUGGCUCCCAUGUGAGGAUGACAUGCAAAUUCAUGAAGAAUUUCAUUUUUUU